rnacentral:ncRNA from 2 species
CCGCCCUGCCCGGGGUGCGCUGUGAUGGCGCUGAGAUGGUCGACCGAACCCGCGAACUUGAUCCGGUUCAUACCGGCGUAAGAAGCGCCAGACUGCAUUAUU